ACCAGCUUAUCCUCUAAAUCUUUAACCAAGCCCUGAUGCAUAUGCAUUCACUGGUGUAAAUGACUUCAAGCAAUUUCAGAGAUUGCUCGUUGGAGCUGUACCUACAUUGAAAGGACCCAAGAACUGUAAUGGGCAAAAGCAAGCGAUAUGAGAGGCACGGUCUCCACUGAAGACUGACUGUAAAGGAAAUCCAAGAAUGCGGAAGGGGACUCCAGGGAACAGAACACUUGUCUUCGCUUGGCCCACGUGUUUGCUCCGUUCUGCCUUUCUGGAAAUGGAUGGACAUGUAGAAACUUCCAUCACCCCCAUUCCCGUGAAAGUGCACGGGAUUAUGGGAUGCGUGUGGUGGAACCCAUGAAGCAGUGCACUCAUGCUGCUGCAGUGUGAUGGAUUUCUCCCACCACCUGAGGGCGGUGUGUCGUGUGCCCUGCCCAAGUUGUACCAGAUCGUCUCAGGGGACUCGAAGAUGAGCAGAGACUUCAGAGGAGCCAAAGCGGUAGAGUCAGAUGGUCCCCCGUUCGAGUCUAUUUUUUAAAUGUCUUAUUCUGGAUGGUCCUCACUGAACUUUUGGGUUCUGGGAAGCAGCUGGAUGGUUUGCAUAACUGCCUUUGCACUUUUCUGGCACAGAUGUCAAAUGUUCUUAAAUCUGACACAGACAAGUUAGUGGUUAUCGAUUGGACUCUCGACACAGCAAACUCUUCAGGUUUUCCUUCUAUCAUAUUUUACGACAUCCCACAGUGAUGUUGGUGACCUUCGAAGCUUUCUUUGUGAUGUUACCGAUGGUGUAAUUAAAUGGUCUCUGAACGUGGGUGAGAAGUCCAGUUUGGAUGAAGCUCCUGCUACUUAGCUCUUAACCGCCUCGGUCUGCGGUUCCAAAUCGGUGCCCUUCUCAGACCAUCAGCCAUCAUGUUGGGAACGGAUGCAGGUUUGCAAAGCUAACGGGAGGACGGGUCAGAGCCUGCAUUACAGGAAACUGCCGGCAUGCGUCUUCUCAUAUGUUUCUCCCAUUUCCAGGAAAGCAGUAUUCGGAUUUUUAAUAGUUCCACGUUCAGAAGUCAGUCCAACUGGAACAAGGAACACACAUUCCAAAGGCUUGCAACUUCUAAAAGGCAUUUGUGUUUUUGCUCUACAUGGCAGAAUGGCUCAGAGAGGGACCAAAAGAGUUCACGAGGAAGCCACAGUUUGAAAGAGGGUAUAUUGUUGUCCCAUUGAUUAAACGGAUGGGUCAUAUACUGCCGGAAUCCAGGCCACAUUUAAGAGAGGGUUUGGUUAGUCAAUGCGUAGACGACCCACCACUUGCAAUGGUGUCAAAGACUUUCAUUAAUGAGGCAUGGCAGCGUAGGGGAGAAACAACUGUAGCCUGAGAUUUAGGAGAUACAGGUUGUAGUCUUGCAUAACUCCUGGUGUAACCCCAGCAAAGCCCGUCUCCUCUCUGGGACUCAACUUUAUCGUAUGUAAAUUGAGAACACGGGUCCCGAGAUCCCCUUCUGUUGUAACAAGUGUCUUAUUCCAUG